AGUCGAACGGUAACAUUGGUGCUUGCACCAGAUGACGAGUGGCGCACGGGUGCGUAACGCGUAUGCAACCUACCUUUUACUAGAGUAUAGCCCAGAGAAAUUUGGAUUAAUCCUCUAUAACAUCUUUUAAUUUCAUGAUUUUAAGAUUAAAGUUUUAACGGUAAAAGAUGGGCAUGCGUCCUAUUAGUUUGUAGGUGAGGUAACGGCUCACCUAGACUACGAUAGGUAGGGGCCCUGAGAGGGGGAUCCCCCACACUGGUACUGAGACACGGACCAGACUCCUACGGGAGGCAGCAGUAAGGAAUAUUGGACAAUGGACGAAAGUCUGAUCCAGCCAUGCCGCGUGCAGGAUGACAGCCCUACGGGUUGUAAACUGCUUUUAUACAGGAAGAAACACUCCGACGUG
rnacentral:rRNA from 1 species